rnacentral:rRNA from 1 species
UACGUAGGGAGCAAGCGUUGUCCGGAAUCAUUGGGCGUAAAGCGCGCGUAGGUGGCCCCGUAAGUCCGCUGUGAAAGUCAAAGGCUCAACCUUUGAAAGCCGGUGGAUACUGCGAGGCUAGAGUACGGUAGAGAGGGGUGGAAUUCCUGGUGUAGCAGUGAAAUGCGUAGAUAUCAGGAGGAACAUCGAUGGCGAAGGCAGCCCCUUGGACCUGUACUGACGCUCAUGCACGAAAGCGUGGGGAGCAAACAGG